rnacentral:rRNA from 1 species
CCUACGGGAGGCAGCAGUGAGGAAUAUUGGUCAAUGGGCGCGAGCCUGAACCAGCCAAGUAGCGUGAAGGAUGACUGUCCUACGGGUUGUAAACCUCUUUUAUCAAGGAAUAAAGUGAGGCACGCGUGCCUUUUUGUAUGUACUUUAUGAAUAAGGAUCGGCUAACUCCGUGCCAGCAGCCGCGGUAAUACGGAGGAUCCGAGCGUUAUCCGGAUUUAUUGGGUUUAAAGGGAGCGGAGGUGGGUUGUUAAGUCAGUUGUGAAAGUUCCGGGCUCAACCGUAAACUUGCAGUUGAAACUGGCAGUCUUGAGUUGGAGAGAGGUAGGCGGAAUGCGCGGUGUAGCGGUGAAAUGCAUAGAUAUCGCGAAGAACUCCGAUUGCGAAGGCAGCAUGCCGGCUCCACACUGACGCUGAGGCACGAAAGUGUGGGUAUCGAACAGGAUUAGAUACCCGUGUAGUC